UCCCUGCUCCUUGCACACACCGCCCGUCACACCACCCGAGUGAGGUCUUGAUGAGGCCGUCGUCUUUGCGGCGGUCGAAUCUAGGUUUUGCAAGGGGGGUU
rnacentral:rRNA from 1 species